AAGUCGUAACAAGGUUUCCGUAGGUGAACCUGCGGAAGGAUCAUUACUGAACUGUCAACACGAGUUGUUGCUGGUCCUCAAAUGGGGGCAUGUGCACACUCUGUUUACACAUCCACUCACACCUGUGCACCCUCUGUAGUUCUGUGGCAUGGGGGACUCUGUCCUCCUGUUGUGGCUCUACAUCUUUACACACACUCUGUAACAAAGUCUCAUGGAAUGUAUGUCGCGUUUAACGCAAUACAAUACAACUUUCAGCAACGGAUCUCUUGGCUCUCGCAUCGAUGAAGAACGCAGCGAAAUGCGAUAAGUAAUGUGAAUUGCAGAAUUCAGUGAAUCAUCGAAUCUUUGAACGCACCUUGCGCCCUUUGGCUAUUCCGAAGGGCAUGCCUGUUUGAGUAUCAUGAACACCUCAACUCUCGUGGUUUGCUACGAUGAGCUUGGACUUUGGGGGUUUUGCUGGCCUGCGGUCGGCUCCUCUCAAAUGAAUCAGCUUCCCAGUGUUUGGUGGAGUCGCAGGUGUGAUAACUAUCUACGCUUGUGGUUUUUCACCAGAUAACCUUCGGUGACGGAGGUUUGCUGGGGCUCAUAAAUGUCUUUCCUCAGUGAAGACAGCCUUUUGAACGUUGAUCUC
rnacentral:rRNA from 1 species